rnacentral:rRNA from 1 species
GGCCAGACUCCUACGGGAGGCAGCAGUGAGGAAUAUUGGUCAAUGGCCGGGAGGCUGAACCAGCCAAGUCGCGUGAGGGAAGACUGCCCUAUGGGUUGUAAACCUCUUUUGUCAGGGAGCAAUUGGCGCUACGUGUAGCGUUAUCGGGAGUACCUGAAGAAAAAGCAUCGGCUAACUCCGUGCCAGCAGCCGCGGUAAUACGGAGGAUGCGAGCGUUAUCCGGAUUUAUUGGGUUUAAAGGGAGCGUAGGCCGGUCUUUAAGCGUGCCGUGAAAUUUUGUGGCUCAACCAUGGGAGUGCGGCGCGAACUGGAGACCUUGAGUGCGCGGAAGGCAGGCGGAAUUCGUGGUGUAGCGGUGAAAUGCUUAGAUAUCACGAAGAACCCCGAUUGCGAAGGCAGCCUGCCGCAGCGUUACUGACGCUGAAGCUCGAAAGCGCGGGUAUCGAACAGGAUUAGAUACCCCGGUAGG